rfam:Schistosoma haematobium scaffold1557_1, whole genome shotgun sequence.
AUCUAGCUGAAGAGUCUCAAAUGGGACGAAAUGUGCGUCCUGGAU